AGAGUGAGACUCUGUCUCAAAAAAAAAAAAAAAAACUCCAUUUUGACCUGUACCCUGAACAAUUGCUUUGCCCUGAGAUGCUGUUAAUGUGUAACUUUGCCCCAAUCUUGAG